rnacentral:ncRNA from 1 species
UGCGAAGAUAAAAACGCAAUGUACAUUAUAAGAUGUGCUAGAGCCGGUAGGUAGCCCGGCCGUCAUAGAGAAAUCUAUGGUAAGUAACCUGCCCCUCCGGGUUGUCCAUUCUUUGCGU